UCGGGAAUUUUGGACAAUGGGCGAAAGCCUGAUCCAGCAAUGCCGCGUGAGUGAAGAAGGCCUUCGGGUUGUAAAGCUCUUUUGUCAGGGAAGAAACGGUGAGAGCUAAUAUCUCUUGCUAAUGACGGUACCUGAAGAAUAAGCACCGGCUAACUACGUGCCAGCAGCCGCGGUAAUACGUAGGGUGCAAGCGUUAAUCGGAAUUACUGGGCGUAAAGCGUGCGCAGGCGGUUUUGUAAGUCUGAUGUGAAAUCCCCGGGCUCAACCUGGGAAUUGCGAUGGAGACUGCAAGGCUAGAAUCUGGCAGAGGGGGGUAGAAUUCCACGUGUAGCAGUGAAAUGCGUAGAGAUGUGGAGGAACACCGAUGGCGAAGGCAGCCCCCUGGGUCAAGAUUGACGCUCAUGCACGAAAGCGUGGGGAGCAAACAGGAUUAGAUACCCCUGUAGUCCCUGAGCGGGCUGGCAAGGCGCAU
rnacentral:rRNA from 1 species